UACGUAGGGGGCAAGCGUUGGCCGGAUUUAUUGGGCGUAAAGGGCGUGUAGGCUGCUAUGCAGGUCCGUUGUGAAAACUCGAGGCUCAACCUCGAGACGCCGAUGGAAACCGCAUGGCUAGAGUCCGGAAGAGGAGAGUGGAAUUCCUGGUGUAGCGGUGAAAUGCGCAGAUAUCAGGAAGAACACCCGUGGCUAAGGCGGCUCUCUAGUACGGUACUGACGCUGAGACGCGAAAGCGUGGGGAGCGAACAGG
rnacentral:rRNA from 1 species